CGCGAAUGGCUAUUACAACAGCUAUAAUUUACUUGAAUUUGACAACCCUACUUGGAUACCGGUGGUAAUUCUAGCGCUAAUACAUGCACCAAAGCUCCGACCGCGAGGGAAGAGCGCAUUUAUUAGAACAAAACCACACGGCUUCGGCCGUCCAAUGUUGACUCAGAAUAACUAAGCUGAUCGCAUGGUCUUGCACCGGCGACGUUUCUUUCAAGUAUCUGCCUUAUCAACUUUCGAUGGUAGUGUACGUGACUACCAUGGUGUUGACGGGUAACGGAGGAUAAGGGUUCGACUCCGGAGAAGGGGCCUGAGAAAUGGCCACUACGUCUAAGGAUGGCAGCAGGCGCGCAAAUUUCCCACUCUCAGUACGAGGAGGUAGUGACGAGAAAUAACAAGACCGUUCUCACAAGAGGCCGGUCAUUGGAAUGGGUACAAUUUAAACCCUUUAACGAGUAUCUAUGAGAGGGCAAGUCUGGUGCCAGCAGCCGCGGUAAUUCCAGCU
rnacentral:rRNA from 1 species